rnacentral:lncRNA from 1 species
CACAGACUAAACGAAUAAUUGAUUUAAAAUAUAAAGAUUAAAUAAAUAUUUAUUUCAUUAUAAUAUCAUUUAAUAAAUGAGUGUCAUAUUGUCACUUAAAUGAAAUAUUAUAAUAUUAUUUGACAAAUUCUAUUCAAACAUUGAUAUCAAAUACUCUAACCACUGUUUCAUUGUUUAAUAUAUUAUGCACAUACAUAAUGUUAAAAAUAAAAUUACGGUGAUGGAACUCAUAGUCUCCAUUUGCAUCCCAUGUUGAUAGUCUAGACUUGUUGCGGUCCUUGUUCUUCUUCUUCUCUCUUCAAUUAUCUUCAAGUAUCUUUUAGUCUAAGCAAAGCACAAAGCUGCUGCUUCCAAUUCUGCAUGCAAAAAUCAUAAUUUAUCUCUUUAUGAAAACAAAGAAGAAGAAAAUUGAUUUGUUACUCACUUCCGUGUGUGUUAGUUAUAUUGGUCGUAG